CCACGGCUAACGACCUCCACCUGCCCGGGUUUGUUUAGAGUUUGCUCUCCUAGGUGAAUUGCCUACCACGGCUAACGACCUCCACCUGCCCGGGUUUGUUUAGAGUUUGCUCUCCUAGGUGAAUUGCCUCCCACGGCUAACGACCUCCACCUGCCCGGGUUUAUUGUUCGGAGUUUGCUCUCCUAGGUGAAUUGCCUCCCACGGCUAACGACCUCCACCUGCCCGGGUUUGUAUAGAGUUUGCUCUCCUAGGUGAAUUGCCUACCACGGCUAACGAGCCUCACCUGCCCGGGUUUGUAUAGAGUUUGCUC